AUUGAACGCUGGCGGCAGGCCUAACACAUGCAAGUCGAGCGGAUGAAGGGAGCUUGCUCCUGGAUUCAGCGGCGGACGGGUGAGUAAUGCCUAGGAAUCUGCCUGGUAGUGGGGGAUAACGUCCGGAAACGGGCGCUAAUACCGCAUACGUCCUGAGGGAGAAAGUGGGGGAUCUUCGGACCUCACGCUAUCAGAUGAGCCUAGGUCGGAUUAGCUAGUUGGUGGGGUAAAGGCCUACCAAGGCGACGAUCCGUAACUGGUCUGAGAGGAUGAUCAGUCAACAUUGAACUGAGACACGGUCCCAGCCCCUAAGGGAAGGAAGCAGUGGGAAUUAUGGAACAUGGGGCGAAGGCUGGUCCCAGCCAGGCGGGGGUGUGAAAAAAGGUCUUGGAUUGGUAAAGCACUUAAAGUGGGAAGAAAGGGAAGAAGGUAAAAACUUGCCGUUUUGAACGUUACAACAGAAUAAGGCCCGGCCUAACUCGUU
rnacentral:rRNA from 1 species